AGAGGGGAGAAGAAAUGGAGGGCCCGAGAUGACACGUGCGCAACCGUAUCUAUUCCCAGUAGAGCAUACACGUGGGAAGGUGUGGGUCUCCUUCCUUCUACACGCGUGCAUGGAAGCUUCAUUAAUAUUUAGACAGCAGCAUGCAAAUGUUAAAAAAACAAACACGCUUCUUAUUACAGUCUGCAGCCGUUUGGUCCACCUCUUCUACUGCAGAGGAUUGCAGAGGUGGUCCGCAGACUUUAUGGAUUUUUGCUUCGAAAAAACAAACAGCAUCUAAAAGUUCAAAGGCAAAGCUUUGGUCAAAUUGUAUAACAGUUUAGCAUAAUAUCGACUCAGCAAGGCAUUUGGCUUGGUACUGCUGAUUUGAACUUGGAAAUGAGACACACUUUGGAAGGACAAAUAUACUUUUGAUAUAUUUUGCAUGAAUGAUCUUUUCUUAUGUCACAUAUAUAUGGGGUAUAUAUAAAAGCCUAACCAAAACAAUAGUGUCCGAUAUAGAUAUAUGCUCAAUAAAAUUCAUACUAAUAAAUAAAAAUCUUUUUGUCA